GAUAAACGCUGGCGGCGUGCCUAAUACAUGCAAGUCGAGCGGUAAGGCCCUUUUAGGGUACACGAGCGGCGGACGGGUGAGUAACGCGUGGGAAUCUACCCCAGACUGAGGGAUAAGCACCGGAAACGGUGUCUAAUACCGCAUACGGUCUUCGGAUUAAAGCUUCGGCGGUUUGGGAAGAGCCCGCGUAAGAUUAGCUAGUUGGUAAGGUAAUGGCUUACCAAGGCGACGAUCUUUAGCUGGUUUGAGAGGAUGAUCAGCCACACUGGAACUGAGACACGGUCCAGACUCCUACGGGAGGCAGCAGUAAGGAAUUUUCCACAAUGGGCGAAAGCCUGAUGGAGCAACGCCGCGUGCAGGAUGAAGGUUUUCGGAUUGUAAACUGCUUUUAUACGUGACGAAUAUGACGGUAGCGUAUGAAUAAGGAUCGGCUAACUCCGUGCCAGCCGCCGCGGUAAAAC
rnacentral:rRNA from 1 species